UACGAGUGCCUCAAGCGUUAUCCGGAAUUAUCGGGCGUAAAGGGUGUGUAGGCGGUCAUGUUAGUCUUGUGUUAAAACCUUCGGCUCAACCGAAGAUCUGCAUGGGAAACGGCAUGACUCGAGGAUGCGAGAGGUGAAUGGAACUCAUAGUGUAGGGGUGAAAUCCGUUGAUAUUAUGGGGAACACCAAAUGCGAAGGCAAUUCACUGGCGCACUCCUGACGCUGAAACACGAAAGCGUAGGUAGCGAAUGGG
rnacentral:rRNA from 1 species